rnacentral:rRNA from 1 species
GACAGAGGAUGCAAGCGUUAUCCGGAAUGAUUGGGCGUAAAGCGUCUGUAGGUGGCUUUUUAAGUCUGCCGUCAAAUCCCAGGGCUUAACCCUGGACAGGACGGGUGGAAACUACCCAAGCUGGAGUACGGUAGGGGCAGGAGGGAAUUUCCGGGUGGAGCGGGUGAAAGUGCGUUGAUAUCAUCAAGGAACACCGGAGGCGAAGGCGGCUCACUGGGGAUUUCUGACGCUGAGGAACGAA